CACCUGAUCCCAUCCCGAACUCAGCAGU
rnacentral:ncRNA from 2 species